rnacentral:lncRNA from 1 species
UGCUUCUAUGUGGUGGAAAAACUCCUUUGGCUGCAACUGCGGUAUAGUGCUGAGGCCAGGAACGCGGCAAAUAUCGAAGGUCCAGAGCACGCACCACAACCAACCGAAAGCUCAGAGAGAAGUCAAAGAAAGCUAAUCCUUGAGUGUGUUGCGGUGACCAGGUGGCCACAGAAACCUCUGUGAGCAGGGAGAUGAGCCAGCUUUGUCCUGCAGAGGUCCCAGCAUAAGCGAAGGCUGUAAUUUUGCCAAAGUCGAGGAGUGGGGGUGGGUGCGUCUUAUUGUUACUCCAAGCAUUUUAGCUUCCCAGUACAAGACUGCACGCUGCAAAACAACGUUGAAACUCUGCGGAAGAUUGGCUAGUGAUUCGAAGCGCACAGUAAGACUAGAAAUGGCAGUGGGGGGGGGGGGGGGUUCGGGGGGAGACAGCAGUAGAGAGCCCUGCAGACACAGGCCAUGGGUGAGGGAACCAGCAAGGAGCCACCAUGUUUGGGGCCCUCUGCUACGAUAUUUUAAAACGGAUUUCAGAGUGUGCUGAGCAGAUGGUCACAGCAGACUGCUGUGCCAGGUGUGUUAAUGAGGCAAGUCAGUAGCAUUCCUGGAGUUACCAAGGAUACUCAGUUAAAGCGGGGCAGGAGCCUCAGGUGAAAACCUGGAAGCGCCGGCCUCACAUUUGCAUGACAAAAGGCCAAGACCUGGGGCUGUGCCAGGCUCCGCCUCCUUCUGCUGGACACGUGACUCCCUUGUUUGUUUUGUUUUUUUUCUCUUUUUGUUUCUCCCUCGGAGCGUCUUGGAGACCCGCUCUUUGCCUGUAACUAAGCAGCAGGCGUUUAUGCUCUAAAUAGACGGUGUUUGUAAUUUUUCACCCCAGUUACCCUAGAAAUCUCUCAAAUGACUUCUUUAUAUAAGCAGCCAUCUAACUCCAUCAGCACCACCCACUGGCCCUGUCCUCAGAGGAUAAUGAGCCAGGAUCGGCCAGCUUCCCUUGUUGCUGUUUCUUAAGCCCCCAUGGCAUAGCAGAGUCGUCCUCCCUUUUAUCUCCCUGUGUGCGUGUGCGUGUGUUGCGCAUGAGCAUAGUAUGAUAAUGCUACCAUACACCCACCGGGAGAUUCCGGUGAACAGGAUGGGGGCAGGCAGAAGGGGGAGCAACCAGGAGAAUCAGAAAUGGAGAGAGCCUUAUUUGCAACCUGUCAGGGGGCAUGGCUUUUUGUGUGUAAUAAACACGAGAUUUUUGGUCCCCUGCAAGCGUGGCACACACAUCUUCUAGUAUGUACCAUGCUACCAGGGAUCCUGGAACAUCACAACUCAGCACACAGUCAUUUCUUAGAAAUAUAUGUCCCCAAGUGCAUGUCCCUCAUGCCUGCCAACAUGUUCACUGCAGCUCAGGCUGCUAGGGACAGUGUGAUGAGGGGAACCCCUUGCAGCAAGCCCAAUGCCAUUAGCACUGGAGUGCUUGGGCAGUUAAGUGUGUAUCCCUAGUAACUCCUUAGUCAAAACCAACCCUCUGUUUCAGUCAUGAAAUGUAGCUGAGAGACUGUGAGACGGUCCAUCAGAAGGAAGGACAUGAUUUUUCUACUGCCCAGAAUUCGGGAAUUCGGGACCAGGGAGCUACCACCACUGUGGACUGAGUUCCUGAAAAAGUUGUAUCUUUGUUUAGGACUCUGGGGGUUUAAUAAGAACUUCAUAAUUGGGUAGAGUUGGAAUGUUGCAGGUCCAGAGCCAGAAAUAUAUCUGGCUCUUUUAUAGGCAUUUACCUACCCCUAUAUCUGACCUAAAACUCUUUAGACCACC